CCACUCAGCUACUCUAAGGCACGGCUUAAAAACAAAAUUUUGACCCCUGCGAAGUUUUUGACCGAGGAGACUGGACUCGAGGUUUCCUUGACAACGAUUGCAAAUGUUAUUCAAUAUGGUGUCGCACCGAGGGACGCGAGUAGAAGGAUUUGUUCGUUUAAAUGCCGUAUUUUCAUGUCAUAAAUUUGGUAUAAUCCAUUGAAGUUAGUCGCGUUCUCCCGAGGACUAUGUUUUACGACCAUGUUAAAGGAAAAGUGUGUAUUCUCUCGACGGAAACUCGAGCUGCCAAAUAAAAACAAGUAUUCCAUUCCAGACCAUUCAAAAGAUCUUUUAAGUACAUAUGUCGCUUGUCCAAAGUAAGGAGCUCUUUUGUUAGYCCUACAACUAUUUGGAGAGCUUUACAUAGACUGCUCUUCACAGAUGGAUGGUCUUGGUUAKUAGAAUUUUCUGGUGGCAGAAUAAGGUUAGUAUUUUGUACAGUGUCAUUGUUAGUUGGAUUAGGGUCUUGGAGAUUGAUGACUUCAUCUGGAACAAGAUAAACCUUUAAAACUUCUUCUGUUUCCACAUUGUCCUUGUCUAUGGGAGCUACAGAGGUUUCAAAUUCUUUAGGAUCAGGCACAGACUCAGGUAGUUCAGGCACAGUCUCAGGUAGUUCAGGCACAGACUCGGGUAGUUCAGGCACAGACUCAGGUAGUUCAGGCACAGUCUCAGGUAGUUCAGGCACAGACUCGGGUAGUUCAGGCACAGACUCAGGUAGU